rnacentral:sRNA from 14 species
AUACAUCUAGAUCCAUACCCCUAAACUCCCUAGAUGAAGGAUAGCUCUUAUAUGGGCUAUCCUCUUUUU